ensembl:lncRNA
AAUAAUCUGAUUACCUUUUUUUGAUGUUUACCUUUAACAGAUAUGGAUUUGUUGGCCAGAAGAGAUGAAGAAGGAAAUAUUUUUUCUUUGAUGCUGAACCCAUCCUGUGGUAUAACUACAUUUUUUGUCUCAAGCAAAAGCUGCACCUCAAGAAUAGUUCAGGAAACUUGCCAGAAACACUGUGGAAAUGGCAGUGGAUAUUACACAGGAUGGCCCUCACCUGCUCAGCUCCUUUAGUAUGGACAACUCCAGGGGAUCCCAGCUGGGUUUCCUGGCUGCAGGUCACACAGGUCUGAAGAUUGAAAGAGAGAGAAAAGAAAAAUUUUUCCAAGGUCUCUUGGAAAGCAAAUGGUGCUGCUGGAGGGAAAACCAAUCAAUUCAGAGGUCUGGGCCAGUUCUCUGUUCAAGUGCUCUGCUCCCUCCUUUGCUUCCAACUGUUCCUGUUUCCCAAGAAAACAAACAUCUCCACUGCAGCUUCCAAGUAGAAUGUGAAAUGAGCUGCAAUGCAAUACAGAUGGGACUGAUUAAUCUUACAUGCAGAGCAAUAAUUCUGGUACAUUAUUCUGUAUAAGCUUUAAUAUUUUCUUGACCUGUGUGGACUGGAAAGACCCCGUGUUGACAGGUGAGGUGUUCCUGGUGUGCUUGCAUGGUGCUCCUCACUGCAGCACCCAGAAUUCUAAUCAGCCAGGUGAUGAAGCCACUGAAGACACGAUGUGCUGUUGAUUGUGAUGGGAGUCAAAUGUGUGCCCAGGCAUUAGUCAGAGCCUCUGCACUCGAGUGGGUACAUUUCAUUCAUUCAGGAAGCAGCACAGUCUCCUGAGAGCUGGUUUCCAGACAAAGGGAGCUCAGACAGAAAUCGGAGCUUCUGGUUGCAUUUUGAACUCUGCCUGCCCCCGGUGCGCUCUCCCCUGAAUGAGCAACAGGAGCUGCAUCCCAACCACCUGGCUGAACAGCGCCUUUGACUCGUGUGACUCUAAACAGGACAUUGCUAGAAGACCUGAACAAAUAAAC